UGUACAGUUUAUUAUAGAUAAUGCUACAAAUUAUAGAGUUGCAGAAGAUUUGUUAUUUCAAAAGUAUAUAACAUUUUUUUGGAGUCUAUGUGUCACUAUCUUAAUGAGAUGCAUGAUAUGAAAUCAGUUAUUGACCAAUGUUAAGAGGUAACAAAAUUUAUCUAUAAUCAUACAUAUGUAUUGAGUUUGAUGAAAAAAUUUAUAAAAGGAGUUGAAUUAGUACGACCUGCACAAACUAGAUUUGUCACAAAUGUAUUGACUAUGCAGAGUGUGGUGAAACAAAGAACUCCUUUGAGUCAGAUGUUCGCUAGUGAAAAAUGGGCUACAUAUCCACAUGCUCAUAAAAGAAAUGCUUCUUUAGUUGUGGAUAUUGUAUUCAAUAACGAAUUUUGGAGAUCAUGUGUGAAGCUAUUGAAGGUUUGUGUUCCAUUAGUUAAAGUUCUCAGGUUAGCUGACAGCGAGGAUAUUCCUUCCAUAGGAUACUUAUAUGAGGCUAUGGAUAAAGCAAAAGAGGCAAUUCGAGACAACUUAAAAGCAAAGAAAAAGUUAUAUAUGCCCAUAUGGAAGAUUAUAGAUAAAAGGUGGACAGGACAGUUUCAUCAACCUCUUCAUGCAGCAGCUUACUAUCUAAAUCCUGCAAUUAGAUUUUCUCCACCAUUUAAGAAGGACAGAGAAGUCUUAGGCGGUCUGUUGAAUUGUAUUAAUGUGUUAAUCAAUGUUGUACGUAUCGUACGAUACGACCCCGUAUCGUACGAUACGUAUCGUAUCGUUUGAAGAAAACGAUACGAUACACCCCUCGUAUCGUAAAAAGGGGGUGUAUCGGCCCUGUAUCGCCCGUAUCGUACGAUACAGAACCCGUAUCGUACGAUACGGGGCGAUACAUCCCGUAUCGUACGAUACGGCCUAAAAACGCAAAAGGGGGCCGAGACCUACUUAUUCGGCUUCUUUUUCAAAUUUUUCUUCAGUUCUUCAUUUCUAACGCUUGGAUAAUGCCGUGAGGGAGGGCGAUCGUUCAUUUUGACCGUGAAGAACUUGAUUUUCAUCGUCAAAUCGAAGAUUAAGUGGUCGAUUUGUGCGUGGGUGCUUGAUUUUCGUGGGAAGGAAAGGGGUUUUCUUCAUUUCAGACAUUUCUUCUUCGUAAGGUAUGAAAUCUCAUGUUCUUACCAUGUAUUCUUAAUUUUUUACCGUAUAAUCGUAGAUUUGAAGACUUUGAGUGUUUUUCAUUAAGUUUACCAUAGGAUUUCGUUUUUUUUUUUGACGAUAUGGAUCCUACAUGGCAAUGGUGCGAAAGGGUGAAGGAGAAUAACCGUUUGAAACUCAAAUGUGGCUUCUGUGGGAAUACACUUUCAGGAGGGAUUAUUAGAAUGAAACACCAUUUGGCAGGGACCUCCAAAGAUGCGUCUCCUUGUGUUGGAGGACCAAACAAACCUUUGCCUCCAUUUGUGCGUCAACAAUGUUUAGAUAUGCUUCAUGCUUUACGUCAAAAGAGAAUACAAAAAGAAAUUGAAGAUGCAGAUGUAGGCUAUAAUGUGCCUUUGGAAGAUGAAGAAGAAGAGGAUGAAGCUUAUGAAUGUGAUGAUGAAGACGAUAGCAGUCUAAGAACAGAUUUGGAGACCUCAAGAGGUAGAGAUCGUAGAGGAAAAGGAAUUAUGUAUGAAGGAGGUCGAUCUGGCAUAACGAGAAGGAAGAGGAGAGGCACAACAGAUGUUAGGGCCAGGCGUGGUAUGCGACCACCUAGUAGUAGAGUUCCUACUGGUAGGUCUAGUGUUGGCUCUAUUAAGAGUUUUUUCCCUUCAUAUACCAGCCCAGGUGGUCAGCCGCAGAUUCGUGCUGCUAUGACAUCUAAAGAUAUGCUAUAUCAUGCACAAAAGCAGGUAAGGAAAUGGUUUUAUGAUGCCUGUAUUCCAUUCAAUGCAGCUAAUUCUUUUCAAUUCCAAGCCAUGGUAGAUGCAAUUGCUUCUAUAGGCCCCGGAUUUAAAAUGCCAUCAUAUCAUCAGUUGAGAGGCAAAAUUCUUCAGGAUACAGUCAAAGAAGUGUCUGAGCAUUGCGAUGAGUUGAAAUUAUGUUGGAAGGAAACAGGUUGCUCCAUUAUGUCAGAUGGUUGGACUGAUACAAGGUCAAGAACACUUGUAAAUUUUCUUGUGUAUUGCCCUAAAGGUACAAUGUUCUUGAAAUCUCUUGACUUGUCUGAUGUUCCUAAGACUGCUGAGAUUUUAUUCAAUGUUUUUGAUAAUGUUGUACAAGAAGUUGGACCUGCAAACAUUGUACAGUUUAUUACAGAUAAUGCUGCAAAUUAUAGAGCUGCAGGAGAUUUGUUAUUUCAAAAGUAUAGAACAUUUUAUUGGAGUCCAUGUGCCACUCAUUGUGUUAAUCUAAUGCUUCAAGAUCUUAAUGAGAUGCAUGAUAUGAAAUCAGCCAUUGACCAAUGUCAAGAGGUAACAAAAUUUAUCUAUAAUCAUGCAUAUGUAUUGAGUUUGAUGAGAAAAUUUACAAAAGGAGUUGAAUUAAUACGACCUGCACAAACUAGAUUUGCCACAAAUGUAUUGACUGUGCAGAGUGUGGUGAAACAAAGAACUCCUUUGAGACAGAUGUUUGCUAGUGAAGAAUGGGCUGCAUAUCCACAUGCUCAUAAAAGAAAUGCUUCUUUAGUUGUGGAUAUUAUAUUCAAUAACGUAUUUUGGGAAUCAUGUGUGAAGCUAUUGAAGGUUUGUGUUCCAUUAGUUAAGGUUCUCAGGUUGGCUGACAGCGAGGACAGACCUUCUAUAGGGUACUUAUAUGAGGCUAUGGACAAAGCAAAAGAGGCAAUUCGAGACAACUUAAAGGAAAAGAAAAGGUUAUAUAUGCCCAUAUGGAAGAUUAUAGAUAAAAGGUGGACUGGACAGCUUCAUCAACCUCUUCAUGCAGCAGCUUAUUAUUUAAAUCCUGUAAUUAGAUUUUCUCCUACAUUUAAGAAGGACAGAGAAGUCAUGCAUGGUUUGUUAGAUUGUAUUAAUGUGUUAGUGGAAGAUUCUACAGAACAAGAUGCUGUGCACAAUGAGUUGGAUCUAUAUGAUAGUUGUUUUCGAAACAUGGGACUACCUGCCGCCGUUCGAGCCAGGACAACGAUGCGUCCAGGUAAAUACAUAGAAAUUUUUAAUUUACUUUGCAUUUGUUACAUUUGAUUCUUUUAAAACUUUCACAUUGAUUUGUUAUAUUUUUGUUUAGAUUUGUGGUGGAAUAGGUAUGGGUUUGAUUGUCCAAACCUAGCACGUUUUGCAAUCAAAGUCCUCAGCCAGACAUGCAGUGCUAGUGGAUGCGAAAUGAAUUGGAGUGUGUUCGAACAUAUCCAUAGAAAAAAAAGGAAUAGGCUCGAACAUAAAAGGUUGAAUGACCUUGUCUUUGUUCGAUAUAAUAUGAGGUUGAAACAAAUGUAAUAUAAGCAUAUAGCUUAAUAUUUUUUGUACAAUAUAUUUAUAUGAAAUUAUAUAAGCACACAUCACGGUUCGAUCAUAUCAACUUGGAAAAUUUUGACGAUCUAGAGCCAUGGAUUGAAGAAGAACCAGCUACAAUAUUUGAUUAUGAAGAUCUUGAAUGCUUCAACUUUGAAGCUGAAGCAACAGAAGGCUUUGUUAAUGAAGGAGAGUCUGCUACUGGCACUGCUGGUGCUGAAUAUGUUGGUGAGGAUCUUCCAAUUCUUGAUUAUGAAGAAGAAGAAGAAGAUGAAGAUGAUGAAGAUUAUGAAUGAUGAAUCAUGAAUGAGAGCCAAGUCAAGACAGCUUUCAUUUUAUAUGUAUCGAACGACUUAAAGUUAUGAAUCUAUGGUUGUUGAACACUUAAAUGUUUUAUCACUUUAUGACUUAAAUGAUAUUGUUAUGAAUUUUGAUGUCUAUGAAUGAUGAACAAGUAAGUUUAUAGCAAUAGUAAGUCUAUCAUUAUCUUAAACAUGUUUUCUAUGAAGAAUUUAUUAUUUUUAAUUUUUUCUGGGUUUUUUAUGAAUUUUCUGAUUUUUUUUUAUUUUUUCUGAUUGAUUAAUAAUUUUUAAAAAAAAAUUACGAUACGUUACGAUAUUUUACGAUACGGCGUAUCUUAAAGCCCGACCGAUACGGCUUACGAUACGCGUUUUACAACAUUGGUUGAUACUGCUCUAUAUGAUACAGGUACUACUUGGAUUAUUGAUUCAGGAGCAUCGAAGCAUUUUUGUAGUAGACCUUCUAUGUUUAUCGUGCUACACUCAUUACUUCAAACACGUUAUGUGAGACUUGCAGCCGGUAAAUGGUCUCAUAUUAUGGGUUAUGAAAAUAUUAAGAUUUCUCAGUCUAUGACAAUUCCUAAUGUGUUAUAUGCUUCUAAGUUUCUCACUAAUAUUUCAUUAGUUGGACAAUUGAUUAAUGAUUUACAUUGUCGUGUUACAUUUCACUCUGCUGUAUGUUUAUUUCAGGACUUGCAAACUGGGAAGCAACUGGUGGAGGCUAUGAGAAAGGGGGCAUCUACUUCCUGUUUGAUUCUGUGCGUAUUGCAGCAGUCUCGACUUCUUCAUUGUUCUCGUUCUUCCAGUGACAUCUUAGACUUGGUCAUCCAUCUGUUUCCAAGCUCUGUCACCUACUUCUUCAUCUAUCAGUACCAGAAUCGUUCCUCGUUCCAAUGUGAGACCUGUCAACUUGGCAAGAACACCCCUAGCAGUUAUUCAUUGAGUCUUAGUCUGUCCAGUUGUAGACUAUUUGAUCUUCUUCAUGUUGAUGUGUAGGGUCCUAGCAGAGUUGCUAGUAGGUCUAGAUUGUGUUAUUUCCUUGUCAUCAUUGUUUAUGAUUAUUCUCAAGUCACUUGGGUUUUUCUUUUGAAAGAAAGGUCUUAAGUUAUAUGUACUCUCAAGAUCCUUAUUAUUGAAAUAAAGAACCAGUUUGGUAUUCUUAUUAAAGCAUUCGCACUAAUAACCCCCUUGAGUUGAAGACAUAUACCAAAAUGAAAUUUUACUCUGAUAAUGACAUUUCUCAUCAGUUUACUUGUCUUCAUACCUCCCAGCAAAAUGGAGUAGCUGAGCGGAAACAUCGCCAACUUUUAAAUGUGGCACGCUCCCUAAUGUUUCAUACUAAUCUACCUACAUAUUUUUGGGAGAUGCCAUCUUCACUGUCUGGUACUUAACCAACCGUUUAGCCUCAUCCUCCAUUGACAACAAGGUUCCCAUUAAACUUGUGCACCCACAACGACCCUUAUUUUCAGUAGCUCCUAAAGUAUUUGGUUGCACAUGCUUUGUUCACAUACUUGGACCCACACGUGAUAAAUUAGGUGCCCAAACCAUUAAGUGUAUCUUUAUUGGCUACUCCGGAAAUCAUAAAGGUUACAAAUGCUUUGACCCCUUGACUCAAAAAGAGUAUAUCAGUGUGUGACAUUUUUUUAGUCUCAGCCUUAUUAUAGUUCUUCACCUACCUCUAUUGAGAUGCCAUUGUCAUCGGACCCACUACCUAUUCCUCCUAUUCCUUUGGAAUCAUUCCCUUACGAGUCUCCUUCUAGGGAUUCUCCCGCCGUAGUGUCCAAGUUUCGUGAUCAUCCGCUGGUCUACACACGUCGACAGGACCCUUCUUAUGAUCCUUCCUCAACCGCUUCUCAGGAGGUAAGUACAUCUGAAGUGAGUAUACCUAAUCCAUCUGAUUCCUGUCAGAACUUACCUAUUGCUCUUCGCAAAGGUAAGCGACAAUGUACUCUGCAUCUUAUAUUUCAUUUUAUUUCUACUGAUGGUAUUGGUAAAAGUAUGCAACAGUUUAUUCAAGCUCUGGCUGCCCAUGCAGUUCCUACUUGUUACCAAUAGGCCUUAUUAAGAUCCUCAAUGGAGACAGGUCCACAGGCUAUGCAAGAUGAGAUGGAUCAGCGAGGCACUUGUGAACUUGUUGAUCCUCCUCCUGAUUGUGACAUUGUUGGCUCCAAGUGGGUAUUCACAGUGAAAUAUAAUUUUGAUGGUUCUAUGAAAAGAUACAAAACUCGAUUGGUUGCUAAGGGCUGUACGCAAACUUACGGGGUUGAUUUCUUUGAGACUUUUUCUCCUGUUGCUCAGUUGGGGACCAUUCGUCUUAUCAUCUCUGUAGUUGUAUACCGUGACUGACACAUGAAUCAGCUUGACGUCAAAAAUACAUUUUUGUACGGUGAUCUCGAUGAGACUGUGUAUAUGCAACAACCACCAGGCUUUAUACGACACAGGGAGUGUGGAAAAGUGCGCAAACUGAAGAAAGCUAUUUAUGGACUCAAGCAGAGUCCUCGUGCGUGAUUUCACAAGUUCUCUGAGGUAGUCUCAAAGUGUGGCUGUGCGAGAUCCCCUCUUGCUCAUUCUCUGUUUAUCAAGAAGAAUUCCAAGGGUAUGACCAUUCUAGUGGUUUAUGUUGAUGAUAUUAUCCAGACAGGUGACUCCGAUCAAGAAAUUUCUGAUACAAAGUUGUUUCUUCAAAAACACUUUAUGACGAAAGAUCUUGGUCAACUACGAUAUUUCUUGAGAAUAGAGGUGGCUCGCAACAGGGAAUGUGUAGUUCUCUCUCAACGAAAGUAUGUUCUUGAUUUAUUGCAGGACAUCGGGAUGCUAGGAGCUAAACCGGCCACUCUACCUAUGAAUCCACGCAUAUAUCUUCAUGAUGACCAAUCAGAAUUAGUG